GCAGUCGUGGCCGAGUGGUUAAGGCGAUAGACUAGAAAUCCACUGGGGUCUCCCCGCACAGGUUCGAAUCCUGUCGACUGCG
rfam:Ixodes scapularis strain Wikel colony gcontig_1108379775796, whole genome shotgun sequence.